rnacentral:rRNA from 1 species
UAAUACCCUAUAGGUUACAGAUGCUGGAAUGCUCUGUAAUCAAAAGUUCCGGCGCCCUAGGAUGGAUCUGCGGCCGAUUAGGUUGUUGUUGGGGUAAUGGCCCAACAAGCCAGUAAUCGGUACGGGUUGUGGGAGCAAGAGCCCGGAGUUGGAUUCUGAGACACGAAUCCAGGCCCUACGGGGCGCAGCAGGCGCGAAAACUUUACAAUGCGGGCAACCGUGAUAAGGGAACCUCGAGUGCCUGUAAAUGCAGGCUGUUCAGAUGCCUAAAACACAUCUGGAGAAAGGGCCGGGCAAGACCGGUGCCAGCCGCCGCGGUAAUACCGGCGGCUCGAGUGGUGGCCACUUUUAUUGGGCUUAAAGCGUUCGUAGCUGGGUUGUUAAGUCUCUUGGGAAAUCUGGCGGCUUAACCGUCAGGCGUCUAAGGGAUACUGGCAAUCUUGGAACCGGGAGAGGUGAGGGGUACUUCGGGGGUAGGAGUGAAAUCCUGUAAUCCUCGAGGGACCACCUGUGGCGAAGGCGCCUCACCAGAACGGCUUCGACAGUGAGGGACGAAAGCUGGGGGAGCAAACCGGAUUAGAUACCCGGGUAGUCCCAGCCGUAAACUAUGCGCGUUAGGUGUAU